rnacentral:rRNA from 1 species
AACGAACGCUGGCGGCGCGCCUAACACAUGCAAGUCGAACGAGAAAGGGGCUUCGGCUCCGAGUAAAGUGGCGCACGGGUGAGUAACACGUGGGUAACCUGCCUCUAAGAUUGGGAUAACUCGUCGAAAGAUGAGCUAAUACCGAAUAAGACCACAGUUCCCGCGGGAACAGGGGUCAAAGGUAGCCUCUGCUUGCAAGCAAUCACUUAGGAAUGGGCCUGCGCACCAUUAGCUAGUUAGUAGGGUAACGGCCUACCAAGGCUUCGACGGGUAGCCGGCCUGGGAGGGUGACCGGCCACACUGGGACUGAGACACGGCCCAGACUCCUACGGGAGGCAGCAGUGGGGAAUAUUGGACAAUGGGCGGAAGCCUGAUCCAGCAACGCCGCGUGAGGGAUGACGGCCUUCGGGUUGUAAACCUCUUUCAGCACCGACGAAGCGCAAGUGACGGUAGGUGCAGAAGAAGGACCGGCCAACUACGUGCCAGCAGCCGCGGUAACAC